AUUCCAGCUCCAAUAGCGUAUAUUUAAGUUGUUGCAGUUAAAAAGCUCGUAGUUGGAUUUCGGGUGUCAUCUGCCGGUCCGCCGUUUCGGUGUGCACUGGCGGGCGUCAUCUUUCUGUCGAGGACGCGCUCCUGUCCUUCACUGGUCGGGACGCGGAGUCGGCGAGGUUACUUUGAAAAAAUUAGAGUGUUCAAAGCGGGCUUACGCUUGAAUAUAUUAGCAUGGAAUAACACUAUAGGACUCCUGUCCUAUUUUGUUGGUCUUCGGGACGGGAGUAAUGAUUAAGAGGAACAGUUGGGGGCAUUCGUAUUUCAUUGUCAGAGGUGAAAUUCUUGGAUUUAUGAAAGACGAACUUCUGCGAAAGCAUUUGCCAAGGAUGUUUUCAUCA
rnacentral:rRNA from 1 species